AUAAAAUCGGAUCGACCAAUUCCUCCGGGAGUUAUCCUUAUUGGUUCUCCUCCUCUCAUCUUCAUCUUCAGCAAAGAUCUCGUCCAUGAAAUCCUUGAUGUUCCAACUCACGUUGGUGGCGGCGGCGAUGAUAUUUUAUAAACGGCCCAUGUAUAUAUUCCUACCGGUGGCCACUACAAUAGAUGUCAAUUGUUGUGCUUGACUGAUCAAAUUUGUCUAUUUCUUGGAAUGUGCAACGUCUUCUAUCUAAUAACCAAGAUAUGAAUCUAGUUUUUUUUUUCCAUUAUCUUUCGAUUCAAUUGUUUUUUUGGGGUUUUAAUUGUAAAAUAUUUAAUUUAUUAAAUGCCCAUCGCAAAUGCAAAGGAAAACGCACGAAUCCACAAUCCCCAAAUGACUACAAAUUCUCUUUUAUGGCUAUUUCUCUUAUUAUCGGUGUGUUUUUUUUGUAGAAAUAUGUCAAAUUUCGGUGUUGAUGAUGGAGCAACAGGUAAGCGAUGAAUCAUAACCACAUUAAACUUUAUGGUAAGUAUUUCAAGUGGAACAAUUGGAGCAUAAAUUGUAAAGAUGUAUUCGACUAAUAAAUUGAAAUGUGGCUAACUUUUUAGAACAAAAAGGCAUACCAGUAAUGUUUCUCCUUUUUUACUUAUCGUUUCAUUUUAAUUACAUUUGUUAUUAAUUGUUUUAAUUAGAUUUAGAAGUCGUUUAUAUAUGAUUUGCACUUUUUAGAUCA